rnacentral:rRNA from 1 species
UACGUAGGGGGCAAGCGUUGUCCGGAUUCAUUGGGCGUAAAGAGCUCGUAGGCGGUUCAGCAAGUCGGGUGUGAAACCUCCAGGCUCAACCUGGAGACGCCACCCGAUACUGCUGUGACUUGAGUCCGGUAGGGGACCACGGAAUUCCUGGUGUAGCGGUGAAAUGCGCAGAUAUCAGGAGGAACACCGGUGGCGAAGGCGGUGGUCUGGGCCGGAACUGACGCUGAGGAGCGAAAGCGUGGGGAGCAAACAGG